rnacentral:rRNA from 1 species
UCCCGAAUUUGGUGGUUAAACUCUACUGCGGUGACGAUACUGUAGGGGAGGUCCUGCGGCAAAAUAGCUCGAUGCCAGAAUGAUAAAAAGCUUAACACCUCUUAUUUGACUUUUUCACUAUUUUGAAAUACGAAAAAGAUCCAAAUCCAAAAUGCAAAGGUCGUCUUAUUCAAAACCUCAAUCAUCACAUCCCCUCUCUCCCACUUCACUUCACACCUCGGAACGCACUGUUCUUAUAGAGAGAAAGGCGCUUUCCCAUCUUCUUAACCCGAAAUGAAAUGGCUGAGGAGAGGAAGGUUCCUUUUGGGGGGUACCCCCGGGAAGAGAUCCAGUGGAGACGGGGUGGGCCUG